GAUGAACGCUAGCUACAGGCUGAACACAUGCAAGUCGAGGGGAAACGAUAUUGGAAGCUUGCUUCCGAUAGGCGUCGACCGGCGCACGGGUGAGUAACGCGUAUCCAACCUGCCCACCACUUGGGGAUAACCUUGCGAAAGUAAGACUAAUACCCAAUGACGUCCAUAGAAGACAUCUGAAAUGGAUUAAAGAUUUAUCGGUGAUGGAUGGGGAUGCGUCUGAUUAGCUUGUUGGCGGGGUAACGGCACACCAAGGCGACGAUCAGUAGGGGUUCUGAGAGGAAGGUCCCCCACAUUGGAACUGGGACACGGUCCAAACUCCUACGGGAGGCAGCAGUGAGGAAUAUUGGUCAAUGGGCGAGAGCCUGAACCAGCCAAGUAGCGUGCAGGAUGACGGCCCUAUGGGUUGUAAACUGCUUUUAUAAGGGAAUAAAGUGAGCCUCGUGAGGCUUUUUGCAUGUACCUUAUGAAUAAGGACCGGCUAAUUCCGUGCCAGCCGCCGCCGUAA
rnacentral:rRNA from 1 species